rnacentral:misc_RNA from 1 species
UAAUAAGUGUUUUAUGGCACUUUUUAAAUCCAUAUCCACCUUGUGUGCAAUGUCGGUCGAUCUUCUUCAUGGAGAUCGACCAAACAUCAACCUUUAUCUUUUAACUCUUUGUCUGAAAAGUAUUAUGAAUAAACAAUUCAAAAUA